rnacentral:misc_RNA from 1 species
AUGCAAUGCCAGGCAGUACCCAAAGAC